rnacentral:snoRNA from 1 species
CUGCCCACCUAGAGCUAAUGGUGCUUCACGUGGCCAGAGCAGAAGGGUGAAGCAUACUUCUCUCCCAAACCCAGGACAGACAAUCCACCCCUCUAUUCUGGAUCCUGUCGUGAGAGACAAUC